rnacentral:rRNA from 1 species
GGGAGUGAAAUAGAACCUGAAACCCUGCACUUACAAGCUGUGGAAGCACAUUUCUUGUGUGACCGCGUACUUUUUGUAGAACGGGCCAACGAGUUACGUUAAGUAGCAAGGUUAAGCACUUAAGGUGCGGAGCCGUAGCGAAAGCGAGUUUUAACUGAGCGUUCAGUUACUUGACGUAGACCCGAAACCGGGCGACCUACCCAGGAGCAGGAUGAAGCGAAAGUAAAAGUUCGUGGAGGUCCGAACCCACGAGCGUUGAAAAGCUCGGGGAUGACUUGUGGGUAGCGGUGAAAUUCCAAUCGAGCCCGGAGAUAGCUGGUUCUCCCCGAAAUAGCUUUAGGGCUAGCCUCAAGGUGAGAGAUACGGAGGUAGAGCACUGAAUGUCCUAGGGGGUAUUGCACCUACCGAAGACUAUCAAACUCCGAAUGCCGUCAUCUUAUACUUGGGAGUCAGACUGUGGGUGAUAAGAUUCAUAGUCGAAAGGGCAACAGCCCAGAUCGUCAGCUAAGGUCCCUAAAUGUAAGUUAAGUGGUAAAGGAUGUGGGAUUGCACAGACAACCAGGAUGUUGGCUUAGAAGCAGCCACUCAUUCAAAGAGUGCGUAAUAGCUCACUGGUCGAGUGAUCCUGCGCCGAAGAUUUCCGGGGCUAAAACUUACUACCGAAGCUACGGCAUCAGUAAUGAUGGGUAGGGGAGCUUCCCAUACGGGUUGAAGCAUGACCGUAAGGACAUGUGGACAGUAUGGGAGUGAGAAUGUUGGCAUGAGUAGCGAGAUGUGGGUG